AUGCUCGCUUCGGCAGCACGUAUACAAAAAUUGGAAUAAUGCAGAGAUAAAUGGCAUGGCCUCUGCGCAAGGAUGACACGCAAUUGUGAAGUCUUCCAUAAGGUG